UAUCUCAUUAACGAAAGUUUCCCACAUGCGUACAGUAAAGGUAGAGUAAUGUGUUACAUGAUCGUGACAGUUUUGUAUACAUGCUUCAUUUGAUUUUCGGGUCACUGUAAAAUUUCGAACAUUUUAAUUUUAUUAUUAAUUAUCAUAGGAUGAAAUCGUUAGAAAGUACAUAUUCGCGGCUUACGAUAUUUCCAAAAGCAUUAGGCAAGUGUUCUGAAGCGGCAGCAAAUUAUGCCUUAUGUGUAAGCUCAAAAGAUAAUAUCCAGAAAUAUGAAUGUGAGAGAGAAUUCAGAAUAUUAAAGGAAUGCUUUCAAAAUGCUAUGAAAAAGUUAGGACAGAUGAAAUGAACCCAUCAGAGCUCCAGCUGCUUGCUAAUAUAAUAAACCAUAAACUUUAAGCAGUCUCACUUUGAAGUUACUUGUCAUAUACUGCAGUUAUUUAUUUUCCCAGUCGUACUUUCUGCUUCAGUACUAGUUAAACAGUUUUGUACUUAUCUGACCCCAGGCAAAUUUUGAAUUACACAACAGUAUAAACCAGUGAUUGAAUUAUUAUUAUUAGAUGAUAUCAUGUUAAGCAUAGUUCUGUGAGAGCAAAUUGCAGAAAACUGUUUUAAGUAUAAAACUCUCAAUUAAGAACAAUAGAAAUACAUGUGUGAACAUUAAAUUAUGGAAGAUUAUAGUAUUGAUUUUUUUUUCUCAGUGUGAUUAAAUACAAUAAACCUGUUAACAUUUGCUAUCA